UUCAGGAUAAGCUAAAUUUAAAAGCUAUUGGUCUCAUAAGCCAAAAAUGAUAAAUUAUCUCCUUAAA
rnacentral:tRNA from 1 species